rnacentral:rRNA from 1 species
GCAUAACGCGAAGAACCUUACCAAGGCUUGACAUAUACCGGAAAAGUUCAGAAAUGUUCUCCCCGCAAGGUCGGUAUACAGGUGGUGCAUGGUUGUCGUCAGCUCGUGUCGUGAGAUGUUGGGUUAAGUCCCGCAACGAGCGCAACCCUCGUUCUAUGUUGCCAGCACGUAAUGGUGGGAACUCAUAGGAGACUGCCGGGGUCAACUCGGAGGAAGGUGGGGAUGACGUCAAAUCAUCAUGCCCCUUAUGUCUUGGGCUUCACGCAUGCUACAAUGGCCGAUACAAAGGGCUGCAAUACCGUAAGGUGGAGCGAAUCCCAAAAAGUCGGUCUCAGUUCGGAUUGAGGUCUGCAACUCGACCUCAUGAAGUCGGAGUCGCUAGUAAUCGCAGAUCAGCAACGCUGCGGUGAAUACGUUCCCGGGUCUUGUACACACCG